rnacentral:rRNA from 1 species
AGCAGUAGCCGCGGGAACACGAAGGGGGCUAGCGUUGCUCGGAAUUACUGGGCGUAAAGGGAGCGUAGGCGGGUCGUUUAGUCAGAGGUGAAAUCCCGGGGCUCAACCUCGGAACUGCCUUUGAUACUGGCGACCUUGAGUAUGGGAGAGGUGAGUGGAACUCCGAGUGUAGAGGUGAAAUUCGUAGAUAUUCGGAAGAACACCAGUGGCGAAAGCGACUCACUGGCCCAUUACUGACGCUGAGGCUCGAAAGCGUGGGGAGCAAACAGGAUUAGAUACCCCGGUAGUCCCUGUCUCUUAUAC